rnacentral:lncRNA from 1 species
ACUGGGAGUGCAAGGAGAUCGAGUUCUGGGGUGAAAUGAGAAUGGAAUCCACCAGAGGUAGAAAAAGGUGAAAAACGCCACUAAAGUGGCGUGUGUGCGAGUGGUAUGAAAUAUGAACGAUUCGUCAAAAUGCUUGCAUCUGCGUGCGCCGGGAUUGGCUGCAGUUUCUGCUGCUGCUACUGCCUACUUGACAUUUGGUUCUAUCUCUGAUCACAAACACUGAUUCUGAAAAAGAAGAAGAACCCAUCCAACUUGCUUGCUUGUUAUCCAAAUCGCAACAACAGGCCUGUUUCUCUCUCUUCCACUCCCUUAUCUCCCUCGCUCGCAUUUACACAUUCAUUUCUUCUCUAAUUUAGGUUUUGAGAUUGUGAUUUUUUGUUAAUCGUUACUUGAUUAUAAUUGUUCAACUGCAUCUAUUGUUAAUUGAUUAAUUAAGAUUAUGAUGAGGCAAUGAUUUAGGGGAAAAACAAUUUAGGAUCAUGAUUGGCCACGCCCGUAAAGAACAAUUUGGUGCAUCAGCAAGUGAUUAAUAUUAUUUUAUAUAUGCAAUUGUCGUGUGGGGCGUAUGGCGCUGUUGAAGUUCUUGCAACUUGUGUGAUUGUCUUUAUGUCAAGUGUCAGGGUUUCUCUUUGUGGUGGAGUUCAGGAGUUGAAUUAUUAGGACGGUAUCAUUACCAAUUUGCCUCUCAGGUGUCUCAACUCUCAACCAAUAUUCUUACCUUUUGUAGAAUUACUGGUUAUUAUUAUUAACCAUUCAUCUGGGAGAGUUGUCUGGAAAAAAGACUAGUUCACACCUCAAAUAUACUAUUCGAAUUCGGGUUAGAUGCAGCUCUACCGCAAAAGCUAGUUUAGAGGC